AGGAAUCUAACUCAAUACAGUCCAGAGAUACUGACACAUCUAUGUUGAUCGCAGCACUAUUUACAAUAGCCAAAAUACAUAAUCCGUUUAGAUGUCAGGUAAGUGAGUAAGGAAAAUUCAGCCAUAAAGAACAGAGUUAUGUCAUUAGCAUGAAACAUGUACUAAUCUGGAAAUUGUCAUUGUAUUAAUUAUUAUUCCUGUUGCUGUGACAAAAACAGCAGGAUCAAAAGCAGCUUAUGGAAGAAAGAAUUUUAUUUCAGUGUUUGGUCUAGAGGGCUAGAACCUGUGAUGGUAGAGGAGGCAUGGCAGCCUGUAGCCAGAGCAAGAAGCUGGACAAUCACAUUCUCAACCACACACAGGGAGCAGAUGGUGCACUGGAAGCAAGGUGAUGAGGAUGUUGAUGAUGGAGAAGGAUGUGUUUCACAUAUGGAUGCAGUUAAAGAUCUUACUGAAGAUUUGAAGCCAAUAUGAAGAAGAAAGUAGGACCAAUGACAUGAAAUAGACGGGUUUUUAAUGCGGAAUAAAACUGCUUCCCAGGAAAAGCACAAGCACUUCUUCAGAAAUUCAAAAAUUCUCUCUUG
rnacentral:lncRNA from 1 species